rnacentral:rRNA from 1 species
GAUGAACGCUGGCGGCGUGCCUAAUACAUGCAAGUCGAGCGAACAGAUGAGGAGCUUGCUCCUCUGACGUUAGCGGCGGACGGGUGAGUAACACGUGUAUAACCUACCUAUAAGACUGGGAUAACUUCGGGAAACCGGAGCUAAUACCGGAUAAUAUAUUGAACCGCAUGGUUCAAUAGUGAAAGACGGUUUUGCUGUCACUUAUAGAUGGUUCCGCGCGGCAUUAGCUAGUUGGUAAGGUAACGGCUUACCAAGGCAACGAUGCGUAGCCGACCUGAGGGGGGGAUGGCGGCCCGGGGAGUUGAAAGGCGGCCCGGCGACUGAGGGGAGGCCGAGAGAGGGAAGCUUCGCAAAAGGGGGAAAGCUUGCAGAAUGGGCGCCAGGGUGGUGAAGAAGCGCUGCGUGCGGGAAAACGGCGUUUUGGGGGAAAACCAAAUGUGAAUGUAACGAAGCGGGUUUGACGGGAACCAAUAAAGAAGCCCCGGCUAACUACGUG